UACAGAGGGGGCAAGCGUUAUUCGGAAUUAUUGGGCGUAAAGGGCGCGUAGGCGGCUUUGCAAGUCGGGUGUGAAAUCCCCAGGCUUAACCUGGGAACUGCAUUCGAGACUGCAUUGCUAGAGUAUGGGAGAGGGAAGUGGAAUUUCAGGUGUAGCGGUGAAAUGCGUAGAUAUCUGAAGGAACAUCAGUGGCGAAAGCGACUUCCUGGACCAAUACUGACGCUCAUGUGCGAAAGCGUGGGGAGCAAACAGG
rnacentral:rRNA from 1 species